rnacentral:rRNA from 1 species
GAUUCGCUAGUAAUCGCGCAUCAGCCAUGGCGCGGUGAAUACGUUCCCGGGCCUUGUACACACCGCCCGUCAAGCCAUGGGAGCCGGGAGUGCCUGAAGUGCGUGACCGUAAAAGGAGCGCCCUAGGGCAAGACCGGUGACUGGGGCUAAGUCGUAACAAGGUAAC